rnacentral:piRNA from 1 species
UGAGACAUCAUUGAUUCUACUUCUCAUUU